ACGUCGUUCCGCAAAGGGGCGGGGAAGACUCAAGCUGAGAAGAAUGGUGGCGAAAGGGCGGAGGAAGAAGGUGGAAGGCACCGAUCGUGCUGCUCUAUCAACCGGUUCACCGACCAUAACCUCUCUUGGCGUCCCCUCUCUUGCCGGGCUUUUCGAACGACUCUUGACUCUUAAAUUUGCGAUUUCAGAGAUUCGGUUGUGAUUGCGGUGAUGGGGAAGCGGAUCUAGGUCACGUUAACUUUCUUGUGGUGAAGUAGGCUUUCGUUUCUGGGUUCUUGGUUUGAAUGGGAGAUGAUUUCAACAAAGAAUGCCGGAUGCCGUGAUAAAGGAUGAUGGAGGAAGGGGAUCUUGAGCGGCCUUGGCCUGAUUGAGUUUCUCGCGAUGAAGCCUUGAAGUGGGAUUUCGAUUCUUGGAUCUUGGUUCUCAUUGAAGAUGAUUCCAGGAAAUGAAUAUUCAUGCUGUGUUUCUUGAUGAUCGGGACGAAGUAUAGAGAGGGCGGAGAGGCUCUUCUUGAUGACGCUGGCGUGGAGGAGUUUCUUUCCUUUGUGAUGAUAUAAAGUGGUGGAGGAUUUGUAGAAAUUUGCAAACAAUUUAUCACGUAAAGUUGUGAUCCCCAUGAAACGAUUGCGCGGUGCGGAGUUCUUCUCGUGUUCUGUUUUUACGAUCUGAUAGGGGAAGCGGAUCUUGGUCACGUUGGCCUGAUCGAGUGAUUCGUGGUGAGGUCAGGAAGUAGUGUUUUGCUUCUGUGUUGCUGAUUUAUGUCGCAAGUGAGUUCAACGAAGAACGUUUGCAUUCUAUGUUAAAAGGAUGAUGUAGGAAGUGGAACCUGGCGACGGAGUCCUGAUUCUUGAUUCUUGGCUUUACUUGAAGAUGAUGAAUCAGUGUUAUUAUAAUCAGGCGGAGAGGGUUUUGGUGACAUUGGCCGGAUCGAGUUCUUGGUGGUGAAGUAAAUCGUGGAAGAUUUGUGCAAGAUUUCGUUGUCAAAUAAGAAGGAUAACCUAAAAGCUUGAGAAAAGAAAUUGCUGAUCACUGCUUUUUUAUGUUCACCAAGUCAUGUGUUCAAAUGUGGGAAUAUGGUUUUCGACUCAACCUUAGCAGUGACUCGAAGUAACAAAUAGAUUCUGAAUUAAGUGCUGAAGAUAGAGAUAGUCAUUCUAGAAUCCGCAAAGACAAAAGUAUUGCAUGAGUUCAGACGUAAAACUUGCUACUGUUGCAUCAACUGACAUGGAUAUAGACCCUAAAUUCUUUGCGUUCACGAUGUUGCAGUUUGAAGGGUUGCAGAGUGGCUAUCCUAACUCUUUGUAGGAGAGGAAUUCUGACAUGAAAAUUUAUUUGAUUUUGUUAUCAACUUAUUCUGAUUCGGCAAGAACCAUCUAAUUUCAAUUUCGUCCCACUAUACUGGUGUGAGUAUAGUGUGACCUAUUUGAUUUUGUUAUCAACUUAUUCUGUUUAUGCAAGAACCAUCGGAUUUUAAUUUUGUCC